rnacentral:rRNA from 1 species
UACGGAGGGGGCUAGCGUUGUUCGGAUUCAUUGGGCGUAAAGGGUGCGUAGGCGGCGUGGUAAGUCGGAUGUGAAAUCUCGGAGCUUAACUCCGAACUGCAUUCGAUACUGCCGUGCUUGAGGACUGGAGAGGAGACUGGAAUUUACGGUGUAGCGGUGAAAUGCGUAGAUAUCGUAAGGAAGACCAGUGGCGAAGGCGGGUCUCUGGGCCGUAACUGACGCUGAGGAGCGAAAGCGUGGGGAGCGAACAGG